rnacentral:rRNA from 1 species
AGUGAACGCUGGCGGCGUGCCUAACACAUGCAAGUCGAACGAUGAUGGAGGAGCUUGCUCUUCCUGAUUAGUGGCGCACGGGUGAGUAAUGCAUAGAUAAUGUGCCCCUUAGUUCGGGAUAGCCACUGGAAACGGUGAUUAAUACCGGAUACUCCUUCUUAUCAUAAGAUAAGUCGGGAAAGUUUUUCGCUAAGGGAUCAGUCUAUGUUCCAUCAGUUAGUUGGUGAGGUAACGGCUCACCAAAACAAUGACGGAUAUCUGGUUUGAGAGGAUGAUCAGACACACUGGAACUGAGACACGGUCCAGACUCCUACGGGAGGCAGCAGUGAGGAAUAUUGCACAAUGGAGGAAACUCUGAUGCAGCAACGCCGCGUGGAGGAUGACGCAUUUCGGUGUGUAAACUCCUUUUAUUAGGGAAGAUUAUGACGGUACCUAAUGAAUAAGCACCGGCUAACUCCGUGCCAGCCGCCGCGGUAAUAC